rnacentral:rRNA from 1 species
GACGAAGGACCCAAGCGUUAUCCGGAUUCAUUGGGUUUAAAGGGUGCGUAGGUGGGUUGGUAAGUCAGUGGUGAAAUCUCCAGGCUUAACUUGGAAACUGCCAUUGAUUCUAUCACUCUUGAAUACCGUGGAGGUCAGCGGAAUAUGUCAUGUAGCGGUGAAAUGCUUAGAUAUGACAUAGAACACCAAUUGCGAAGGCAGCUGGCUACACGAAUAUUGACACUGAUGCACGAAAGCGUGGGGAUCAAACAGG